rnacentral:rRNA from 1 species
GAAGGUUGGGUAACACUAACUGGAGGACCGAACCGACUAAUGUUGAAAAAUUAGCGGAUGACCUGUGGCUGGGGGUGAAAGGCCAAUCAAACCGGGAGAUAGCUGGUUCUCCCCGAAAGCUAUUUAGGUAGCGCCUCGUGAACUCAUCUCCGGGGGUAGAGCACUGUUUCGGCUAGGGGGCCAUCCCGGCUUACCAACCCGAUGCAAACUGCGAAUACCGGAGAAUGUUAUCACGGGAGACACACGGCGGGUGCUAACGUCCGUCGUGAAGAGGGAAACAACCCAGACCGCCAGCUAAGGUCCCAAAGUCAUGGUUAAGUGGGAAACGAUGUGGGAAGGCCCAGACAGCCAGGAUGUUGGCUUAGAAGCAGCCAUCAUUUAAAGAAAGCGUAAUAGCUCACUGGUCGAGUCGGCCUGCGCGGAAGAUGUAACGGGGCUAAACCAUGCACCGAAGCUGCGGCAGCGACAUUUAGGUGUUGUUGGGUAGGGGAGCGUUCUGUAAGCCUGUGAAGGUGGCCUGUGAGGGUUGCUGGAGGUAUCAGAAGUGCGAAUGCUGACAUAAGUAACGAUAAAGCGGGUGAAAAGCCCGCUCGCCGGAAGACCAAGGGUUCCUGUCCAACGUUAAUCGGGGCAGGGUGAGUCGACCCCUAAGGCGAGGCCGA